GGUAGUCAUAGUGUUGGGCCAAGGUGGAUGGUAGUCAUAGUGUUGGGCCAAGGUGGAUGGUAGUAAUAGUGUUGGGCCAAGGUGGAUGGUAGUAAUAGUGUUGGGCCAAGGUGGAUGGUAGUCAUAGUGUUGGGCCAAGGUGGAUGGUAGUCAUAGUGUUGGGCCAAGGUGGAUGGUAGUAAUAGUGUUGGGCCAAGGUGGAUGGUAGUAAUAGUGUUGGGCCAAGGUGGAUGGUAGUAAUAGUGUUGGGCCAAGGUGGAUGGUAGU